rnacentral:rRNA from 1 species
CAGCCGCCGCGGUAAUACGUAGGGUGCAAGCGUUAAUCGGAAUUACUGGGCGUAAAGCGUGCGCAGGCGGUUUGUUAAGACAGAUGUGAAAUCCCCGGGCUUAACCUGGGAACUGCAUUUGUGACUGGCAAGCUAGAGUAUGGCAGAGGGGGGUGGAAUUCCGCGUGUAGCAGUGAGAUGCGUAGAUAUACGGAGGAACACCGAUGGCGAAGGCAGCCCCCUGGGCCAAUACUGACGCCCAUGCACGAAAGCGUGGGGAGCAAACAGGAUUAGAUACCCGCGUAGUCCCUGUCUCUUAUAC